rnacentral:lncRNA from 1 species
CGACGAUAUGAGGCCGGCGGUAAUGGUCCCCUGGAUGACGACCAGAAUCUCCGACCCGGCGGGGUGGGUGUGGAGGGGGAUGACGCCGCCGGGCGCCAGGUCGAGGCGGGCGAUGGACAGGCCGAGCCCGUUCACGCCGGGGAACUGGCCGUCGAAAGCAGGGGUGACGGCGGCGCUGAUGAUGUUCUUGGUGUUGCCGGCGGCGGCGAGGCCGUGGAAG